rnacentral:tRNA from 1 species
ACUAAUAUAGUUUAAUUAUAAAACAUUAAUUUUGUAAAUUAAAAAUAUUUUAAUUUAAAUUAUCAGUA